AAUGAACGCUGGCGGCAGGCCUAACACAUGCAAGUCGAACGGAUCCUUCGGGAUUAGUGGCGGACGGGUGAAUAACGCGUGGGAACAUACCCAAAGGUACGGAAUAGCCUCGGGAAACUGGGAGUAAUACCGUAUGUGGUCGAGAGACGAAAGAUUUAUCGCCUUUGGAUUGGCCCCGCGUUGGAUUAGGUAGUUGGUGGGGUAAUGGCCUACCAAGCCGACGAUCCAUAGCUGGUUUGAGAGGAUGAUCAGCCACACUGGGACUGAGACACGGCCCAGACUCCUACGGGAGGCAGCAGUGGGGAAUCUUAGACAAUGGGGGAAACCCUGAUCUAGCCAUGCCGCGUGAUCGAUGAAGGCCUUAGGGUUGUAAAGAUCUUUCAGAUGGGAAGAUAAUGACGGUACCAUCAGAAGAAGCCCCGGCUAAACUCCGUGCCAGCAGCCGCGGUAAU
rnacentral:rRNA from 1 species